CCUGAGUAUAAUGGAGACCUCUAGCCUCUAAUCAUGGGCACUAAAGGGGAUUGCAGACUUGAAGGGAUUGAACCAACUACUGCAAGUCAUGGGCAUUCAAUGUUUUGUAAGAGACAACCAGUCAAUUCAAAGAUGCAGGCAGGCGGAGAAGGAUGGCCAUGUUCGCCAAAGCAUAAUGGAAGAUGUUGAUGAAACCGCACUGUUGAAACAAAUGGAGCGGGAGAAAAUGCCUCCUCCUCCAAAGCCAAAGGAAACGUUUGUGAGUGAAAGGUGUUGCUAUUAAUCCUUACUCAGGAACAACCACCAUAAACCAAGAAUAUCCCAGGCCAACAAGGACAUAGUCGUUGUAUUCAAAGCUGCAAUAAAUAGAGAUUGACUCAU
rnacentral:lncRNA from 10 species